GUGCUUGCUUCGGCAGCACAUAAACUAAAAUUAGAACAAUACAGAGAAGAUUAGCAUGGCCCCUGCACAAGGACAAUACACAAAUUUGUGAAGUGUUCCAUAUUAAA